rnacentral:rRNA from 1 species
UACGCAGGUGGCAAGCGUUAUCCGGAUUUAUUGGGUUUAAAGGGUGCGCAGGCGGGAGAUUAAGUCGGCGGUGAAAUUUUGCAGCUCAACUGUAAAAGUGCCUUCGAUACUGGCUUCCUUGAGUGUGGAUGAAGUAGGCGGAAUUUGUGGUGUAGCGGUGAAAUGCUUAGAUAUCACGAGGAACUCCGAUUGCGCAGGCAGCUUACUAAACCACUACUGACGCUCAUGCACGAAGGCGUGGGGAUCAAACAGGAUUAGA